GCUUUAGAAGACCACAAAAUUGUUCACUAUUUCAUAUAAAAGCUUUAUUCCAGUAGAAAAUUCACUGCAUCAAGAAACUACUUUUAAAAUUGCAAUAUUAAACAAUGUUAAAAUAUUACAAACAAAGUAAGCAACGAAGUACGACUCAAGAAUAAUCUCUUCCAAGUGCACAAAAGAAAGCUGCAUGUCACCAUCCAUUUAUUUCAAUGUUCAAGCGUGGAUUACGUUACUACUGUAACAUUUCAGAACUGGGGCGCAAUUAGGUAUGACAGUCAAUAGGAUAUUGCUUAGAUCUAUAUGGCAAUACUGAUAGUUAUUGAGAUCUUAAUUAAACUCCGGAAGAGCCUCAAUUGUACAGUGACCCAUUGCUUCCAUUAGUUUAGGUUUGAAAUGUGGCUGGGUACCGCAAAUUUCACAUCCCAAGGCAUGGUCUUUUCAAAAUAGCACCAUUUAGCUAGGAAUUACCCAUACAAGUUGGUAAACAUAAAUAUAAUACUAAUGUCAAUGAUGGGCAAUUCAGGAAAAUUGAACAUGGAGGAUUAGAAUACCAAAGACAUCUUAUGAUCAUAUCCCGAUUAAAAAGCCAAUGAAUAAUAACUUCCCAGAAUAAUUCCAUCCAAAUAAACCAGGCCAUCUUUUCAGUACACUGUGAAUGUUCGCAAAUUCUACAAAUUUUAUAUUAUUUAAUAAAGUUGCUACAUAUAAAGUGGAGAUAUAAAAGCUACAUAAAACUAUGUAGAAAGGGUGCAGCAUUUCUCAAACUAUUUUUGUUCCGGUACACCUAUGACCAAUUCAGUCGCAAUUUUGAUUCUUGUCCCGCAGUAUUGCGAAAAAGCUUGCUGAACAUAGUUUGAGAAACGCUGAAUUAAUGUUGUCUGCGUAGCCACAAAGCAGAACAUUCGAAAUGGGCAACAAUCAACAAACAUUAGCUAUAUGAUUAUUCAAUAAGCAAUUCAAAGUUUAUCAAGUGAAAAAAGUUGGUAUGAAUACAAAAAAGUCACUCGUUUGAAAAUAAAAUCAAUAAAAAAAUCGGUGCUCCCAAAGUAUGCGAA